CGCAAUGGGCGAAAGUCUGACGGAGCGACGCCGCGUGGAGGAUGAAGUACUUCGGUACGUAAACUCCUUUUGCCAGGGAAAAAGUUAUUGAUGGUACCUGGAGAAUAAGAGGUUGCUAAACUCGUGCCAGCAGCAGCGGUAAUACGAGUGCCUCAAGCGUUAUCCGGAAUUAUUGGGCGUAAAGGGUGUGUAGGCGGCUGUGUUAGUCUCUUGUAAAAUUCCUCGGCUCAACCGAGGGCUCGCAAGAGAAACGGCACGGCUAAGAGUUUGGAAGGGGUCUCUGGAACUCAUGGUGUAGCGGUGAAAUGCGUUGAUAUCAUGGGGAACACCAAAAGCGAAAGCAGGAGACUGGUCCAUUACUGAUGCUGAAACACGAAAGCGU
rnacentral:rRNA from 1 species